UACGGAGGGUGCAAGCGUUAUCCGGAUUCACUGGGUUUAAAGGGUGCGUAGGUGGGCAGGUAAGUCAGUGGUGAAAUCUCUGGGCUUAACUCAGAAACUGCCAUUGAUACUAUCUGUCUUGAAUACCGUGGAGGUCAGCGGAAUAUGUCAUGUAGCGGUGAAAUGCUUAGAUAUGACAUAGAACACCAAUUGCGAAGGCAGCUGGCUACACGAAUAUUGACACUGAUGCACGAAAGCGUGGGGAGUCAAACAG
rnacentral:rRNA from 1 species